rnacentral:lncRNA from 1 species
CUGGAGAGCAAUUUUCAAGUUGUAGGUUCGUGUUCCUAUGACAGGGAAAUGGAGAAGAAAAAUAUUUUUAAAAAGUCACUAAGCUCUUCCCGGGCCUCAGAGCAGAGUUUAAAUGCCUCCUGUCCCCAUGGCGUAACCAGCUAUUAGGGGGAAAGCCAGGGUUCUGGCAACCUCCAAUAUGCCGAGGAACACUGAGAAGCAGAAAAGGGGGAUUUAUUCAUUGCGGCCACACUGGGAAGAAGAGAGAAAAAGGAGAUUACCAGCCUUGGCAAGUCCCCAGUAGACACCAGCAGGCUUACAGGUCUCUAGACAUAGCCCCAUGCCUUCCAACCAGUAGCUUCCAAAAACAGAAGCUGAAACUUCAGGACGCUUGCUCGCUGGGCCCUGAGAUUCCAACAUCUGUUACCUCUGCAGAAGCGGAUCAGGAGUCAGAGGUAGGACAUUCUUCUACUGGAGGGGAUGUAAGAGAACAGGGCCCAGCAGAAUCAAGGUUAACCUGGAAGAUAACCUAAUGGCAGAGAGCGUGUCCCAACCUGUAACAAAAUGAAGCCUGCAGCCUCCAAAAGCAAGAGAAGAAUGGUCAUGCACAGGACUCACUCAGCUCGUAAAGGGCUUUCCUAGAUCCUGACCUUCCUGAACUCUCCUACUCUUCUGCUCUCGGGGACGCUUUUUGCUGUGUUAAUAAACUAUUGCUGUCCCUGUGUCCCC